GGAUCAAGUAAUGCAAUAGCAUCAACUAGUGCAUCUAAGGAUUUAUGUCAUUCUUCUUUUACACCCCAAAAAUUUAAUGAUUAUUGUAAAACAUGUCCAGGAUUGUAUACACAUAUUUAGAAGAAUUACAAAAGAGUAGAUCCAAAAGGCUACAUGCCAUGUUUAGUGUUGUGUGCAUGCGGACCUGUAGUGGCACGUUCUCUGCAAUUCACGUGGUCAGAUAUGCAGUAGAAAUUGGUGGUACUGUUGUACAGCUGGUGGGAAAUACCUACGAGUUACCAGUGCCUAGAUCCAAGGCUUACAUGCAAACUUCAAUCAAUAAGACACCCAACAGAGAACCAUGGGAGCUGCAGUGCAUGAAGUGGAUCCUGGAUAUGUAGCCAAGGUAAAGAAGCUAGGAAUGCUGGUUUUAUAUGAUGGUAUGAUGAACUCCUACAUGGCUAUACGAUUUAUGCAGCACUAAAACUAUGUAGCCAUAACACCUAGAAAGCUUCAUUGUCAAUUCUGUGCAUGUUUCUAUGUACAGAAAGUAAUUCAUUGGCUGAGAGUGGUCAGCUGGUGCUUUCAUUCAAUCAAUGGCCAGUGGGACCAGCUUCUCGAGUUCUGCACAAGCUGGAUGCAUGUCAACAGCCAUAGAGGACCCUCUGUGCCCGGUGGGUACCCAGAUAAUAAGACCAGCUGUUGCAAAGCUGUUUAUCCCACUACCUGCGGACGGUGGCAGGGUCGUCCACAUCAUAACCAUUACAGUAGGCCGUAAUAGUUAAGAUGCUUGGAAUAACCCUUUAAGAAGCUGACGCUGAGAAGAGAUUAACUAGAGGUAGA